UUCCAUCAUCCCGAAGAGAGGACCUGUACAUCAAGCCAUCCGUAACGGUGACUGCGGAGGGUUCAGGGCCCCGACCACCGGUCCACAGAACGAGGAAGACUGACUGAACUUUUGUGCCUUCCAUCACAGCAGGAAUUGCUGGUCCCACUGUGGAGGAUGUUUUAUAAAAACAUAGAAAAUAGGUGCAGGAGUAGGCCAUUCG